rnacentral:rRNA from 1 species
AACGAACGCUGGCGGCAGGCUUAACACAUGCAAGUCGAGCGCACCGCAAGGUGAGCGGCAGACGGGUGAGUAACGCGUGGGAAUCUACCCAACCCUACGGAAUAACCCAGGGAAACUUGGACUAAUGCCGUAUACGCCCUUUUGGGGAAAGAUUUAUCGGGGAUGGAUGAGCCCGCGUUGGAUUAGCUAGUUGGUGGGGUAAAGGCCUACCAAGGCGACGAUCCAUAGCUGGUCUGAGAGGAUGAUCAGCCACAUUGGGACUGAGACACGGCCCAAACUCCUACGGGAGGCAGCAGUGGGGAAUAUUGGACAAUGGGCGCAAGCCUGAUCCAGCCAUGCCGCGUGAGUGAUGAAGGCCUUAGGGUUGUAAAGCUCUUUCAGUAGGGAAGAUAAUGACGGUACCUACAGAAGAAGCCCCGGCUAACUUCGUG